rnacentral:rRNA from 19 species
CAACUUUCAACAAUGGAUCUCUUGGUUCUGGCAUCGAUGAAGAACGCAGCGAAAUGCGAUAAGUAGUGUGAAUUGCAGAAUUCAGUGAAUCAUCGAAUCUUUGAACGCACAUUGCGCCCCUCGGUAUUCCGUGGGGCAUGCCUGUUCGAGCGUCAUUU